AAAAAGAAGCAGGCCCUUGCCAGAUACGAGUUUGCCAAUGCCUUGAUCUUGGAAUUCCCAGCCUCCAGAACUGUGAGCAAAAGGAUGUGUGUAUGUUCACCCAUACGCUGCACAAAUAUGUAAUGGACACCAGCCAUGACCAGCCUACUGGGGACUGCUUGGCAGUAGCAACACGGCAGCGAACAAGACAGAUGAGCCUCCUGCCCACAGAAGCUUACAUUCGGGUGGAAUACAGGCUGCAUGAGCAAAGAAGAUGACCACACACCUGGGGGAGAGUCAGAUGGCUUCUUCAAUUGGAACGUUCUUCCCUAAGGAUGAGCUAAUAUAGCACAUGACCUGAAAAUCCUUCUGGGAGACUCCAGGAUAAUCCAAGACUGGCAGAAAGUGAGAAUACCGAUUGAGAUCCAAGGACAUCCUCAUGGGAGUCUGUGCAGACAGGUUUUCAUCAAGAACCCCUCUCCAAGCAGCUGGUCCAGCCCAGCUAAACUGGGGGCUGCUGUUUGUAAGAAAAUUAAUGCUCUGGGCCAAGCACGGUGGCUCAUGCCUGUAA
rnacentral:lncRNA from 1 species